rnacentral:rRNA from 1 species
GACGAACGCUGGCGGCGCGCCUAACACAUGCAAGUCGAACGAGCGAGAGAGAGCUUGCUUUCUCAAGCGAGUGGCGAACGGGUGAGUAACGCGUGAGGAACCUGCCUCAAAGAGGGGGACAACAGUUGGAAACGACUGCUAAUACCGCAUAAGCCCACGACCCGGCAUCGGGUCGAGGGAAAAGGAGCAAUCCGCUUUGAGAUGGCCUCGCGUCCGAUUAGCUAGUUGGUGAGGUAACGGCCCACCAAGGCGACGAUCGGUAGCCGGACUGAGAGGUUGAACGGCCACAUUGGGACUGAGACACGGCCCAGACUCCUACGGGAGGCAGCAGUGGGGAAUAUUGCACAAUGGGGGAAACCCUGAUGCAGCGACGCCGCGUGGAGGAAGAAGGUCUUCGGAUUGUAAACUCCUGUUGUGGAGGAAGAUAAUGACGGUACUCAACAAGGAAGUGACGGCUAACUACGUG